CUUACCUGAAGAGGCAGUGCCUCUUCUCCUUAUUUUUCUCUUAUGGAUUUUUAUAGAAAAUCCUUAAUCUACGAAGAUCCAACGGUCCGAUCUUCGAUCCGAUUUUGGUAACGUGAUCUACGAAGCCCGAUCUACGUUUCUACCGAUCGGUUUGAGAUUUUGGGUAGUUUGGAGUUGCUAGGAGCUUCCCGAGCAUUUGGUCUUUGCUUGGCGAAUUUUUGUGAUACAUUGCAAGGUGAUGUCUAGGGGACCUAGUGCUUAAUAUCCGCGCAGCCAGAUGAUGUCCAUUUGACUGCAGGUACACCUGACUUAGAGGAGGACCCCGUAGCUGCGUAUUUGGGAUAUUACGAUUGAAGCACACUGUGACAGUCGUAUUGAGUUGGACUAUGGAGUUCACUCUUUUGGGGUAUUUUGUAUAUGACUCUUUUGUAUAGACCACA